AGAGACUUCUCAACUACUGGUGUAGAGAGAACAAAUCUUCACUUUGUAUAAUGCGAGGACUUUAAGAAGUUUUGGGAAAUGGCUGAGAGGAAAAAAACACAAGGAAGCCAGCAGCCUGCCCCAACUUCUCUAUUUUCUAAAGUAUCUCUUACCAGAGACCCCCGGUGGGGCUCGGGAUAAAGCUUGCAAGAAACAGAAAAUGUUUAUGGGUAGUAGCCCAUGUUAGCCGUAAAGGAAGUCAAGUUUCCUUUGAUUGUUCUUGCCCUGAUCAAAGUGGCAGACAGUGGAAGGGAAAAUACCAGAGCCCCAAAAUGAUGGUAACUCUGGAGUCCCGAGAUUAGGUAUUUGUGAACAGUACAGAUAACAGAAUUGGUCAGGUGCCUGCUAGUCUCAUGUCCAUCCCUGAAGAAAGUAAUGGAGUAGUGUAGAUUAGAAUCAAGCAAGUCAGUUCCACGUCCUCGGGGCUAGUGGAAUUCCUUAGGCAGGGGAUGACAAAUAAGUUUCAUCUCUAGCGAUAAUGAGAAACUGGCAGCCAGCUGUAUUGGGAAGGUUUCUGAUGCUACAUCCAGGCUUAGCCCAAAAGAGUACCAUGACCAAAGAGCAAUGUCUACUGGGCAUGGGAGGAGGAAACAACCUCACAUAUUUGAUGUCCCUUAUCUAGCACAAUUUCAGAAAGUUAGACUGUCAUAUAUGUGCAAAGAUAAGUAGAAAACAGUCAGCCCCAGAAAAGAAAUGGUAGACAGAAUGAGAGAAGUAACUAGAGACAGUGAUGCUUGCUAAACAUUGUAUUUAGUCCUGUAUAUUAGGUGAACCAUUUGACAAGUUCCAGACAAUGAAAUAUAAGCAGAAAUGAUGCAGAUCACCUCUGGGCUAAGACAGAAAAUACCCACGUGCCCUUCUUUACUUUCCUCUUUCCUUGUUCCAGUGAUUGAAGAGGCCCCUUGUUCCAAUAGCACAACUACAAAAUGAAAUAGCCUUUUUCAUCCUGUGUCCUUAAGUGACUAUGUGGAACCAUGUC
rnacentral:lncRNA from 10 species